CCUACGGGUGGCAGCAGUAGGGAAUCUUCCACAAUGGGCGAAAGCCGGAUGGAGCAACGCCGCGUGGGUGAAGAAGGUCUUCGGAUUGUAAAACCCUGUUGUUAGAGAAGAAAGUGCGUGAGAGUAACUGUUCACGUUUCGACGGUAUCUAACCAGAAAGCCACGGCUAACUACGUGACAGCAGCGGCGGUAAUACGUAGGGGGCAAGCGGUAUCCGGAUUUAUUGGGCGGAAAGGUAACGCGGUCGGUCUUUUAAGUCUGAUGUGAAAGCCUUCGGGUUAACCGGAGUAGUGCAUUGGAAACUGGGAGACUGGAGUGCAGGAGAGGAGAGUGGAACUCCAUGUGUAGCGGUGAAAUGCGUAGAUAUAUGGAAGAACACCAGUGGCGAACGCGGCUCUCUGGUCUGUAACUGACGCUGAGGUUCGAAAGCGUGGGUAGCAAACAGGAUUAGAUACCCUUGUAGUC
rnacentral:rRNA from 1 species